GUUGCUUCUGUGCCUUUAGUUUGAGUGUCCAAUUGGAUUAAAUGGUUUGGUCAUUGGUAGUGAGGAGCAUAUAUUAAUCUCAAAAGUGCCAGUUUUUAACAGCAUGAUGUUUCACUCUGUUGCAUUGUGUUACCUGUCUGCUGGUACAUGU
rfam:Morus notabilis contig5643, whole genome shotgun sequence.